GUGAAAGCCCGGGGCUCAACCCCGGAAGUGCAUUGGAAACUGGCAGACUUGAGUACGGGAGAGGAAGGCGGAAUUCCCGGUGUAGGGGUGAAAUUCGUAGAUAUUGGGAGGAACACCGGUGGCGAAGGCGGCCGGCUGGGCCCAUACUGACGCUGAGGCGCGAAAGCGUGGGGAGCAAACGGGAUUAGAUACCCUGGUAGUCCACGCCGUAAACGAUGGGCACUAGGUGUCGGGGGUAUUGACCCCUUCUGUGGCGAAGCUAACGCAUUAAUUGCCCCCCCUGGGGAGUACGGCCCCAAGGUUAAAACUCAAAGGAA
rnacentral:rRNA from 1 species